UGGGGAAUUUUGGACAAUGGGCGAAAGCCUGAUCCAGCAAUGCCGCGUGUGUGAAGAAGGCCUUCGGGUUGUAAAGCACUUUUGUCCGGAAAGAAAUCCUUGGCUCUAAUACAGUCGGGGGAUGACGGUACCGGAAGAAUAAGCACCGGCUAACUACGUGCCAGCAGCCGCGGUAAUACGUAGGGUGCAAGCGUUAAUCGGAAUUACUGGGCGUAAAGCGUGCGCAGGCGGUUUGCUAAGACCGAUGUGAAAUCCCCGGGCUCAACCUGGGAACUGCAUUGGUGACUGGCAGGCUAGAGUAUGGCAGAGGGGGGUAGAAUUCCACGUGUAGCAGUGAAAUGCGUAGAGAUGUGGAGGAAUACCGAUGGCGAAGGCAGCCCCCUGGGCCAAUACUGACGCUCAUGCACGAAAGCGUGGGGAGCAAACAGGAUUAGAUACCCUGGUAGUCCACGCCCUAAACGAUGUCAACUAGUUGUUGGGGAUUCAUUUCCUUAGUAACGUAGCUAACGCGUGAAGUUGACCGCCUGGGGAGUACGGUCGCAAGAUUAAAAUUUAAAGGAAUUGAC
rnacentral:rRNA from 1 species